CCUACGGGAGGCUGCAGUAGGGAAUUUUGCGCAAUGGGCGAAAGCCUGACGCAGCAACACCGCGUGAAUGUUAAGCCCUUCGGGGUGUAAAGUUCUGUCAAUAGGGACGAAUUUUGACUGUACCUAUAAAGGAAGCACCGGCUAACUCCGUGCCAGCAGCCGCGGUAAUACGGGGGGUGCAAGCGUUGUCCGGAAUCAUUGGGCGUAAAGCGUUCGUAGGCGGCAAGGUAAGUCUGAUGUUAAAGCCCGGGGCUCAACUCCGGUUCGGCAUUGGAUACUAUCUAGCUAGAAUGUGGUAGAGGUAAAGGGAAUUCCUGGUGUAGCGGUGAAAUCCGUAGAUAUCUGGAGGAACAUCAGUGGCGAAGGCGACUAUCUGGCACAUAACUGACGCUGAGGAGCGAAAGCGUGGGUAGCAAACAGGAUUAGAUACCCGAGUAGUC
rnacentral:rRNA from 1 species